GGCUCCUUGGUCAAGCGGUUAAGACACCACCCUUUCACGGUGCUAACAGGGGUUCGAUUCCCCUAGGAGUCACCA
rnacentral:tRNA from 1 species